rnacentral:rRNA from 1 species
UACGUAGGGUGCAAGCGUUAAUCGGAAUUACUGGGCGUAAAGCGUGCGCAGGCGGUUUUGUAAGUCUGUUGUGAAAUCCCCGGGCUUAACCUGGGAAUGGCAAUGGAGACUGCAAGGCUAGAGUUUGGCAGAGGGGGGUAGAAUUCCACGUGUAGCAGUGAAAUGCGUAGAGAUGUGGAGGAACACCGAUGGCGAAGGCAGCCCCCUGGGUCAAGAUUGACGCUCAUGCACGAAAGCGUGGGGAGCAAACAGG